AAAAAGAGAGCAUUCGAGGCCUCAAGAGCAUUAUUUAUGUAAUCUUAUAUGGAACAUCUUGUUGCACCGUUCAAGGUUUAGACGGGGUCCCUUUAGGAGGUAAAUAAUUGUCCCCCACGCAGAUGAUUUUACCAUUACGAAUGAGAGCGCAUCUACCACCACUGUACUGCUGCCUGAUGGUGCAGCAAUUCUGACAGUGUUCCGGGAAUAUUACAUCGCCGCAUUGGAGGAUAGAGUCGGCAAGGCAUUCCUUCGUGCAAGCUGCAUGAAACACGUUUAGCGAACCCCCAUGAAAUGGAGACUCGACUCAGAUGAAUAAAGAUCGCUGGAUUCAGCAUUUUGCUUCCUUACCUUGAGCUUCUGUUUUUCCCAGCAGCACCAGCAGAGCUGCGAGCAGUAAGCAGAGCGAAAAUAAGUGAGACCUCAUUGUGGGCGACGAGGAGUAAGAAGCGAUGCUUGAAUGCUUGCUUUCGUGGGGAUUUUAUAGUCAGCUGGAUUUUCUGCUGGAUAGAAAGUUCCUGGCCUGUGCUUCUCUAGUGAUGUGUUUGUAUCUUUGCGCUCCUGGUUUAGCAUGCCGUACACGGAAAGCGCAUCGACGAAAGGUGAGCGAUGAUUUUUUAUCCUGAUUAUCGUGUGCUUAUCCUGAUUUUCGUGUGCUCGGUGUUCUUGGUAGCCCAGUCAAGAAAGUACCAGAGUUGAAUAUGAGAUGAAGCUACAGAACGUCAAAGAAACACGUGGAAAGAACGCAUGAAAAUUCGAUGGUUAGGCUUUUGGAGGAGGCAUAAAAAGUCUCUCAAAACCUGCAACUUGAGGAGAUUUUACAAAUUUUCCUGUCAAGGACGUAGUAUCCUCGACCCCCAUAGCUGCAGCCUUUAGGAGCACUGUUUCCUGGAACGCUAUGCUUCACGGCUAUUCUGGCGACUCAUUGUUAUUAAGACAAGUUAUUCUUUUAAAACCAGGCCAGAACCUGUCCAACCCAAUGGAGCAUUUACAAGCAAGAUUGGAACAACUGCCAAGGGUCACUGUAGACCAGAAAUAAGGAUGCUGCGCGGGUACACAUGCCUUCAUCAAAGUCACGAGAAGGCAUCCUUUCAAGGUAUUCUCUUGGUAUUAAUCAUAGCCAAUUGUGAAAGGUGUUCUGCUAUCCAGCUUAGCGGCUCAAAAUGCUAUACAUGGUAUCCACAGGGAACAACCUCACUGAAGAAGCUAGAGCAGCAUUUCUGGAGGAAUUUAAAAGAGCAGUGUAUGCAACGUGGUUGGCUUGGAAUGGCAUCGUGUGGAGCAGCUCUUGGGCCUCUGGUAUCUUGCCGGCCCGGCCAAGGAUGUCGAUCAUACAGCAGUAGUGAUCAAUUGUCUCAGCGAUGGAGUGAUUGAAGCUCAUGGAGAAGAAGUGGUGGAUUGCCAGAGCGAGCAAGCCAAUGUGGUUACAGGCGAUCAAGGUGGCGAUGAGAGUGGUGGCAUCGGGCUCUACUCCUUCACACGCCAUCCUCUUGUAAAGAUCCAAGGUUUCUACGGCGUGGGCGUUCUUGGCAUAGCCAUGAAGCAUCGCGUUCCAGGAAACAGUGUUCCUCUCCGGCAUUGUCUCAAAGAUCUUGCGUGAUCGAUCAAGACGUUGCUGCUAUGGCCUUGAGAGGGAUCGCUCCUCAAUUUCCCCAUCUUGGGCAUGUGCUACAAGAACAAGUUCCAGGCCAGUGGUUUUUCUGAGGGAAAGGUUUCGAGAAGAUUUUGUGCUUCCUCCAAACCAGGCAAGAACCUAUGAGAAAAUGAUUAACAAUCCUACAUCGCAGGACUUUGAAGAAACAAAGCUCCCACCUCAGCAUCCGUCCGACCUCUAUAAGCUUGAGCAAGAUUGGAACGACUCGAAGGGGACCUCGCCGACCAGAAAUAAGGAUGCCGCGCAUGGUACACACACCUUCCCGUGAGCGUUCUUUCAAGGUAUUCACUUUCUGAACUAGUUGACAGGGGAAAAACGAAUGGCGCUGUUGUCAUGUAAAAUUGCUAAGCUAUCUUUGCGUCGUGCAGCGACAUGGUGGGAUCAAUGAGCAGGAAAUGACGGAGAAUGGUUUCGAACAAAGGAAAAGGUGAUUUUUCAUUCAUUCGUAUAAGCUUUUACUUUUGGUGGAGCAAGGUGGUGAACGAAACGGGUACUGCUGGAUGGUAUCAGCCAGGGAGAGGACGACACGGCUGUCCAUGGGCUACACCAGUGGGACGACCACGAAAUCAUAUGUGUGGUUCCUCACACUCAAAAGGAUUCGAGUAUGGAAUGUUGUGGCUGUUGUUGGAAGGAGCAACGUAAGGCUCGAGAAUGCGGGUCCUGUGAAAACCAGGUCAACAUAGAUCAUAGAAGAACGUCAGAGGUGCCAUCUCGUCAAAGCUUUGGAUGUCAAUUGUGGGAGGCGAGUCGGUGCUGCCCAAGGGGAUAAAGUUGCCACUCGCCACGGUGGUAGAGCCGUAUUGGAUGGGCGAUUCAUCCUUGAUACAGCAACUUCCAAUGCCAUCUUUCUCACUCCAGUGUUCUUGUGUUGCUUGUAACACUCUUAAACGCAGUAAAAUUGACGGGAGACAUUUUGGUUUAUAACCUUUAGUAUGAAUUUAGAAUAUACAGCUUUGUGGCUUGAUCUUUUAAGUCUGUUUUCCGUGCAGGUAGGUAAGACCUCGACUGAAGUUUCGACUUCCGAGUGCCAGUGUACGCAAUUUGUAAACCGCGUGACUUUUUCACCAUGGAAAAGGGGGUUUACAAAUUGCACUCCACCUGGAAAUGGAGUGUUGGCUUUUAAAAUCAUAACUUGCAACUUGUAAAAUGAAACGCACAAAAUGCUUGAACUUUGGCUAAAGCGUCUCCCCGACGUCUAGUUGCAGUAUUCUGACUCUUUGGGAAGGGCCCUGCGCAUCUCGUUUCUGCAUCUUUGUUUUUGAAUAAGAGCCCAGAACUACAAAGAGCAGAUUAUAAGGGCUGUAGUUGCAGCAACACUGCAUGCAAUGGCGAGCUAGGAACUCAUUCCAUGGGAUGGUUUGGAAAUUGGAACUUGAGAAAGGCAGCAUGGGAAAAAAAAGAGAGCAUUCGAGGCCUCAAGAGCAUUAUUUAUGUAAUCUUAUAUGGAACAUCUUGUUGCACCGUUCAAGGUCUAGACGGGGUCCCUUUAGGAGGUAAAUAAUUGUCCCCCACGCAGAUGAUUUUUCCAUUACGAAUGAGAGCGCAUCUACCACCAUUGUACUGCCGCCUGAUGGUGCAGCAAUUCUGACAGUGUUGCGGGAAUAUUACAUCGCCGCAUCGGAGGAUAGAGUCGGCAAGGCAUUCCCUCGUGCAAGCUGCAGGAGCGAACCCCCAUGAAAUGGAGACUCGACUCAAAUGAAUAAACAGCAUUUUGCUUCCUUACCUUGAGCUUCUGUUUUUCCCAGCAGCACCAGCAGAGCUGCGAGCAGUAAGCAGAGCGAAAAUAAAUGAGACCUCAUUGUGGACGAUCAGAAUGCUUGCUUUCGCCCGCUUUUGUGGGUAUUUUA
rnacentral:lncRNA from 1 species